rnacentral:lncRNA from 1 species
UGGAAAGACUAAAAAUUCUGCUUUUUCACUGCCCAGAUGAAUAUUCAAAAUGAAUAUUACAUUGAAUUUUGCUGUAGUAUUAUGCUUACAUGGCAAAAUAAACGUGGGCUUGUUUGUAAAGACCUGCAAUUCAACACUUUAAACAUGAACAAAUGUUAUAUUUUAUGAUCAAAGCAUUUCCUAAGUUCUGUCCACGAAAGCAGAAAAUCAAAACGUAGAGACUCUAAAGGGAAAUCACUGCUCACCCAGGCUCUUCCACAAGUGGACUUCCUGGCAUCGGCACUGGAGUUUCUUCAUCAUGAGCUGAUUUAAUAUCCUGUAAUAGGUUGAUGUGUUCCAGUCAGAGCCAGUUCUGUAGGUACGGUUACAGCUUGUGUUCCAUUCUUUUUAUUGUUUCCGGAAUUAAUUUUAAUGUCCAUGUGAUAUUGAAAGUUAUUGUAACAGAUAAAAGCCAGUGCUCAGAAAAAUGACACAGAAUAAAAGAAUAAUGU